GGCUCCGGGCGGCCGUGACCCUGCUGGAGUCCGGGGGGGACCUCCAGCCCCCCGGGGGGUCCCUGCGCCUCCUCUGCCGAGGGUCCGGGUUCGAUUUUGGGAAUUUCGCCAUGUACUGGGUCCGCCAGAGACCCGGGCAGGGGCUGGAGUGGAUCGCGUGGAUCAGGAACGAUGGUGGCUACACCAACUACGCGCCGUCACUCAAGGGCCGGGUGACGAUCUCCAGGGACAACGGGCAGAGCUCGGUGACGCUUACUAUGAACAGCCUCAAGGACGAGGAUUCCGGAUCCUAUUUCUGUGCCAGAGAGGCUGGCUCCAGUGCUGGUGCUGGUUUUGAUGGUUUUGGCCCUGGCCCUGUUCCCGGGUCCUCACCUGUCCCCAUUCCCCAGAGCCUUCCCUCCAACCCUUGA